AGACCCGAAACCCGGUGAUCUAGCCAUGGGCAGGUUGAAGGUUGGGUAACACUAACUGGAGGACCGAACCGACUAAUGUUGAAAAAUUAGCGGAUGACCUGUGGCUGGGGGUGAAAGGCCAAUCAAACCGGGAGAUAGCUGGUUCUCCCCGAAAGCUAUUUAGGUAGCGCCUCGUGAAUUCAUCUCCGGGGGUAGAGCACUGUUUCGGCUAGGGGGCCAUCCCGGCUUACCAACCCGAUGCAAACUGCGAAUACCGGAGAAUGUUAUCACGGGAGACACACGGCGGGUGCUAACGUCCGUCGUGAAGAGGGAAACAACCCAGACCGCCAGCUAAGGUCCCAAAGUCAUGGUUAAGUGGGAAACGAUGUGGGAAGGCCCAGACAGCCAGGAUGUUGGCUUAGAAGCAGCCAUCAUUUAAAGAAAGCGUAAUAGCUCACUGGUCGAGUCGGCCUGCGCGGAAGAUGUAACGGGGCUAAACCAUGCACCGAAGCUGCGGCAGCGACGCUGAUGCGUUGUUGGGUAGGGGAGCGUUCUGUAAGCCUGCGAAGGUGGCCUGUGAGGGUUGCUGGAGGUAUCAGAAGUGCGAAUGCUGACAUAAGUAACGAUAAAGCGGGUGAAAAGCCCGCUCGCCGGAAGACCAAGGGUUCCUGUCCAACGUUAAUCGGGGCAGGGUGAGUCGACCCCUAAGGCGAGGCCGAAAGGCGUAGUCGAUGGGAAACGGGUUAAUAUUCCCGUACUUGGUGUUACUGCGAAGGGGGGACGGAGAAGGCUAUGUUGGCCGGGCGACGGUUGUCCCGGUUUAAGCGUGUAGGUGUGUGUUCCAGGUAAAUCCGGUUCACUUUAACACUGAGGCGUGAUGACGAGGCACUACGGUGCUGAAGCAACAAAUGCCCUGCUUCCAGGAAAAGCCUCUAAGCAUCAGGUAACAUCAAAUCGUACCCCAAACCGACACAGGUGGUCAGGUAGAGAAUACCAAGGCGCUUGAGAGAACUCGGGUGAAGGAACUAGGCAAAAUGGUGCCGUAACUUCGGGAGAAGGCACGCUGACACGUAGGUGAAGUGAUUUACUCAUGGAGCUGAAGUCAGUCGAAGAUACCAGCUGGCUGCAACUGUUUAUUAAAAACACAGCACUGUGCAAACACGAAAGUGGACGUAUACGGUGUGACGCCUGCCCGGUGCCGGAAGGUUAAUUGAUGGGGUCAGCGCAAGCGAAGCUCCUGAUCGAAGCCCCGGUAAACGGCGGCCGUAACUAUAACGGUCCUAAGGUAGCGAAAUUCCUUGUCGGGUAAGUUCCGACCUGCACGAAUGGCGUAAUGAUGGCCAGGCUGUCUCCACCCGAGACUCAGUGAAAUUGAACUCGCUGUGAAGAUGCAGUGUACCCGCGGCAAGACGGAAAGACCCCGUGAACCUUUACUAUAGCUUGACACUGAACAUUGAGCCUUGAUGUGUAGGAUAGGUGGGAGGCUUUGAAGUGUGGACGCCAGUCUGCAUGGAGCCGACCUUGAAAUACCACCCUUUAAUGUUUGAUGUUCUAACGUGGACCCGUGAUCCGGGUUGCGGACAGUGUCUGGUGGGUAGUUUGACUGGGGCGGUCUCCUCCUAAAGAGUAACGGAGGAGCACGAAGGUUGGCUAAUCCUGGUCGGACAUCAGGAGGUUAGUGCAAUGGCAUAAGCCAGCUUGACUGCGAGCGUGACGGCGCGAGCAGGUGCGAAAGCAGGUCAUAGUGAUCCGGUGGUUCUGAAUGGAAGGGCCAUCGCUCAACGGAUAAAAGGUACUCCGGGGAUAACAGGCUGAUACCGCCCAAGAGUUCAUAUCGACGGCGGUGUUUGGCACCUCGAUGUCGGCUCAUCACAUCCUGGGGCUGAAGUAGGUCCCAAGGGUAUGGCUGUUCGCCAUUUAAAGUGGUACGCGAGCUGGGUUUAGAACGUCGUGAGACAGUUCGGUCCCUAUCUGCCGUGGGCGCUGGAGAACUGAGGGGGGCUGCUCCUAGUACGAGAGGACCGGAGUGGACGCAUCACUGGUGUUCGGGUUGUCAUGCCAAUGGCACUGCCCGGUAGCUAAAUGCGGAAGAGAUAAGUGCUGAAAGCAUCUAAGCACGAAA
rnacentral:rRNA from 1 species